rnacentral:rRNA from 1 species
AUUGAACGCUGGCGGCAUGCCUUACACAUGCAAGUCGAACGGCAGCACGGGAGCAAUCCUGGUGGCGAGUGGCGAACGGGUGAGUAAUAUAUCGGAACGUGCCCAGUCGUGGGGAUAACGUAGCGAAAGCUACGCUAAUACCGCAUACGAUCUAUGGAUGAAAGCGGGGGAUCGCAAGACCUCGCGCGAUUGGAGCGGCCGAUAUCAGAUUAGGUAGUUGGUGAGGUAAAGGCUCACCAAGCCGACGAUCUGUAGCUGGUCUGAGAGGACGACCAGCCACACUGGGACUGAGACACGGCCCAGACUCCUACGGGAGGCAGCAGUGGGGAAUUUUGGACAAUGGGCGCAAGCCUGAUCCAGCCAUGCCGCGUGCAGGAUGACGGUCCUAUGGAUUGUAAACUGCUUUUGUACAGGAAGAAACACUACUUCGUGAAGUAGCUUGACGGUACUGUAAGAAUAAGGAUCGGCU